rnacentral:rRNA from 1 species
UACGUAGGUCCCGAGCGUUGUCCGGAUUUAUUGGGCGUAAAGGGUGCGUAGGUGGUUUCUUAAGUCUGGUGUAAAAGGCAGUGGCUCAACCAUUGUAUGCAUUGGAAACUGGUAGACUUGAGUGCAGGAGAGGAGAGUGGAAUUCCAUGUGUAGCGGUGAAAUGCGUAGAUAUAUGGAGGAACACCGGUGGCGAAAGCGGCUCUCUGGCCUGUAACUGACACUGAGGCUCGAAAGCGUGGGGAGCAAACAGG